GCGUAGUGCAGUGGUUAGCAUGCUCGGCUCAAAACCGAAAAGGCCCGGGUUCGAGUCCCGGGAGCGGCG